CUUUGGGGAGCUAAUGAAGCCAGUGUGUGGGAGUAUAAUAGAGGAGCAAAGUGAAUUCAAAUGAACCACUGCUCAUCAGUGUUUGAGCAGCUUAGGACCUAUCCGCGUUGCAAACACACAGAACCUCGGGCCUGGGUCACCAACCUUGAUGGUACCAACUGCCAGGGGUGUGCAGGAGGUGUGGAAACCAGGCACGUCCUGCACAGCGGGAAGGAGCUGGGCGGAAGCGGAAGCUGGCCAGGUGCGUGGGCUGGUUCCUGUGCUCUGGCUGUGUCUCAGGAGGGGUGCUCCGUACUGGCCUGGGUGGCUCCAGGGAGGGAGCAGUGAGGGCAGCUGGCCUCCUUGGGAAGGGAGUGUGUGGUUGAGGGGUGGGAAAUGGCGGCACCAGGCGCACGUUUUCAGUCUCACCCCUGGCCCCACGGGACCGGCUGCACACAGGCUUUCUGGCGCAGCACCCAGUAGAUGGCACUGUUCCUUGGACCUGGCGUCCUCAGAGCUUGGCUGGGUUCCACAGUCGCUUUGGCCCUGCGAGUCCCCAAGGCCCUGGAGUUGAGGUGGGAGACAGACGUCCUGGUCGCUGGCAGUCCUUUUCCCUUGCCCAUCCUGCUUUCUACUUGUGUGGCUCCCCACCUGCUUCUAUUAGAAGAAAAGGAAGUGCGGCCAGGGGCUGGGGAUGUAGCUCAGCGGUGCAGCACCUGCCUGGCAAGCUUGAAGUCCUGAGUUCGAUUCCCGGUACACCCCCCCCCCCCCACACACACACACACACACACACACACACACGGGUGCGGCCUGGCUUUGUGCUCUGUGGAGGACAGGGUUUGCUUCGCAUGGCGUUGGAUGUGGACAGAGCAUGGGGCUGGAAGCCUUGUCACUGACGUAUGUUUAUUCUUCAUAGAUGACUUAAGCUAACUAGGCUUAUCUCCAAAAAUGAUGCUGGGCAACAUGAUCACAAAAAUAGGGAGGGGAUGGGUAGAGGUGGGGAAGGGUUCAUCCGUGGGCGCCGAGCUCUGCUGAGAGAGGAGUGAGAGGCGCUGUGACCUGUUGCACAGCGGGGCCUGGACAGUGUGAUCUCAGGAGGCUCCGAACGACUUCACCACGAGGAAACAGUAACUGUGUGAGGGGCCGGGUGCGUUUGCUGUCACUUAAACAUUAGACAGAGUGUAAACACAUCAAGGCCUUACGCGGCACCCAUAAACGGUGCGACCUCUGCGUGUUUACGUAUCAGUUGAAAUACAUCUCAGUAGAACAAAAAUUAAAAAUGCACAGUGAUUCUAGCAUUGGCUGGGGAGCCGGGAGGCUUGGAUUCUCAUCUUAGCUGUCGGAAGUUACCUGCUUGUGGUACCUGGUAUUUUCACCUGUAGCAGAAGCGUCACACUUGGCCUGGUGGUCUGACUCAGAGUUUGGUGGUGAGAAUCCAGUGAGGUCAUUCGUGUGGGCUUUACAGAAGUGUGUGCUGCACGGGCAUGUGAGGGUGGUGGCGGCAGAACGACAGCUUCUGC
rnacentral:lncRNA from 1 species